rnacentral:rRNA from 1 species
GACAGAGGGUGCAAACGUUGUUCGGAAUUACUGGGCGUAAAGCGUGUGUAGGCGGCUGCGCAAGUCGGAUGUGAAAGCCCCGGGCUCAACCCGGGAAGUGCACCCGAAACUGCAUAGCUUGAGUACCGGAGAGGUUGGUGGAAUUCUCGGUGUAGAGGUGAAAUUCGUAGAUAUCGAGAGGAACACCGGUGGCGAAGGCGGCCAACUGGACGAGUACUGACGCUGAGACACGAAAGCGUGGGGAGCAAACAGG